rnacentral:rRNA from 1 species
GGGGAAUAUUGCACAAUGGGGGAAACCCUGAUGCAGCGACGCCGCGUGGAGGAAGAAGGUCUUCGGAUUGUAAACUCUUGUUGUUGGGGAAGAUAAUGACGGUACCCAACAAGGAAGUGACGGCUAACUACGUGCCAGCAGCCGCGGUAAAACGUAGGUCACAAGCGUUGUCCGGAAUUACUGGGUGUAAAGGGAGCGCAGGCGGGAAGACAAGUUGGAAGUGAAAUCUAUGGGCUCAACCCAUAAACUGCUUUCAAAACUGUUUUUCUUGAGUAGUGCAGAGGUAGGCGGAAUUCCCGGUGUAGCGGUGGAAUGCGUAGAUAUCGGGAGGAACACCAGUGGCGAAGGCGGCCUACUGGGCACCAACUGACGCUGAGGCUCGAAAGUGUGGGUAGCAAACAGGAUUAGAUACCCUGGUAGUCCACACCGUAAACGAUGAUUACUAGGUGUUGGAGGAUUGACCCCUUCAGUGCCGCAGUUAACACAAUAAGUAAUCCACCUGGGGAGUACGACCGCAAGGUUGAAACUCAAAGGAAUUGACGGGGGCCCGCACAAGCAGUGGAGUAUGUGGUUUAAUUCGACGCAACGCGAAGAACCUUACCAAGUCUUGACAUCCCUUGACAGACAUAGAAAUAUGUAAUCUCUUCGGAGCAAGGAGACAGGUGGUGCAUGGUUGUCGUCAGCUCGUGUCGUGAGAUGUUGGGUUAAGUCCCGCAACGAGCGCAACCCUUAUGGUCAGUUACUACGCAAGAGGACUCUGGCCAGACUGCCGUUGACAAAACGGAGGAAGGUGGGGAUGACGUCAAAUCAUCAUGCCCUUUAUGACUUGGGCUACACACGUACUACAAUGGCGUUAAACAAAGAGAAGCAAGACCGCGAGGUGGAGCAAAACUCAGAAACAACGUCCCAGUUCGGACUGCAGGCUGCAACUCGCCUGCACGAAGUCGGAAUUGCUAGUAAUCGUGGAUCAGCAUGCCACGGUGAAUACGUUCCCG